CCUUAGGGUAAGGAAGGGCUCAUUGCAACAUGGCUCUUAUCCCAAUCCUGCAGCUCCAGGGAAUUCCAGUAACACUCCCUCAAGGAUUAACGUUCUGCUGUUGAAUGCCAGCUAUUGUCUCAGAAGGAGUCAAGUUGGUCAAUUAGUUUUCUGGAGUGACAGGAGAAGACAAAUACCAUGGACUGUUCUUUGAGAUGUUUUGUUGCCAAUCCUUUAGGAACCAGAAAAAUAGUGCACUUGUACAAGAAAUCGACAGAUGGGGAAGGAGAGUCCUUCUCUGAGGAGGAACCUAGGAGGAACCACACUCCAGCAACCAGGUAAUGGGCCUCCACAUCUUGGUGGUGCCAGAAGCCUCGGUGCCCACCCAAGGACCCCAAGACGUCCCCAGUUUGGAGGAGCCCCUGGAAACCAAUCUAAUGCCAGCACCUCAGUCACCCAUGGCCUGCCCUACAUCCAUCCAAAUCCUCGAAGAACCCAAGGCAUCUGGGUUCUAAGAAUCUCGGGAUGGGGUGCCUUUCCACAGCCCUCCUGACAAUCCGACCCUGAAGCUGCCACCAGCUACAUCCCAGCCCCCUAGGAAUGCCUCAGCCGAUCUUCCAAGCCGCCAGUACCAAUGUAACAGAGAGGCACUGCAGGCAAGGUGGAGAAGCACAAGGCAGCUACCGCCAGAUGAGUCUCCUCAGGAGGAGGUGUAACAAACCACAGAAGGGUUACUCAUGAGGAAGGUUUGCACCAGCACAGGCAGGAAAUGUAUAUGGUCCUUUCCUGGCCUACUUAAGCCUUCCCAGUUCUUUUAGGUGCUACUGGAUGCAACAGCUCAUGUAGACCUCUGUCCUGAAGGUGGCUACCUUGCAUGCCAGCUCU